CAGAUUUUAUGCAGAUCAAUUGCCUAAUGGCUUUGAAUGGAUGAUGCAAAUCAAAAAAUGCAAAUUAAACAAAUAUGUAUAUCAAGAAGAACAAAUGCAAAUCAAAUAUGUUAAUCAAUACAAAUACAUAUCUACCAGAUCAAACUAAUUUACUGAGUCAACGUAUUUAACCGAAUGUUAAAAAAGUAAACAUAAUAAAAAUAAAGAUCUAAAACAAAACAUAACUUAAUAUAAAUAAGUACAAAAUAACUUGUUGACGAAAACAACAAUAAAUAUAAUAUAUUAAAAUUUUAAAAAUAUAUAAAAAAUUAUUAAAAUGACAAAGAGUAUUCCUUUUCCUCCUUAAUUAUUUUUAUAAUAAUUUUCUUGAUGUUUGUCAUAAAACUACAUUAUCCAAUUUUUACUUCUUUCACACCAUUGGGUUAUUUUCAACCUUAUUUCUCUACAAAUAUUAAAGUUUCAGAUUAUAUCCC
rnacentral:lncRNA from 1 species